GCUCCAGAUCUCGGUUUCUGAUAUGAUGGUCCUCUUCCAUUUUCUUUCGAAGCUCAUUGUUUUCCUGUCGGAGCUGCUCGCAGAGAGUCUAUGAAACAAAGCGCACACAUUCAGUUCCGUUCCUUUAGCUCCUGUUUGCAUACCUGAAGCAGGGAGGUCCUCUGUUCGUUCUUUUGGACCUUAGAGGAGAGAUGGUGGAACUCCACAGCCAUGCAGGCCAGGUGGGCUAACAGCUGGUUCGGAUUGGACUCCUCGGCGAAUAUGCUGAA